UGUGGGGGCUUUGGGGCAGUGUAGGGGGUCGGUAGGAGCACUGGGGCGCUGUGCAAGGACAACCCGGGGUGUGGCUCCUCCCUGGGGGACGUGUUGGGCCCACAGCAGGCUCGGGGAGCCGGGGGAGAGCUGAGUGGGGCCCGUGGGGUGUAAGGAGUGAGCCAUGGGGUGGGGAAGGGGCUGCAGGGCCAGGCCAGGGUGUGCCCCAGGGCCAGCAGCCAGACCAGGACUCUGUUUUUGCUGUGACUGUCCCAGAACUUUGUGUGUCGCAGGAUUUCCUGCCGGGGCUCAGCCCCAGAGAAGCCACAGCCCUGGAUGGUCACAGGGAUGGGACUCAGUGCUUCCAUCCCUGAGGUGAGGAAGGACCAGGUAGCUGGACCAAGAGGUGGUUGUGCAGGAUGGUGAGAGCUGCUCUUACUGUUUGGUUAUACCUGUGUGGUUUUUUGGGUUAUCACAGAAUCAUAGAAGGGUUUGGGCUGGAAGGGACCAUAAAGACCAUCUCCUUCCACCCCUGCCAUGGGCAGGGACACCUUCCACUGUCCCAGGUUGCCCCAAGCCCUGUCCAGCCUGGCCUUGGACAUGUCCAGGGAUGGGGCACCCACAGCUCCUCUGGCAACCUGUGCCAGGGCCUUGCCCAUCUAAUUCCCUAAUACCCCCUCUGCCUGUUGAAACCAUUCCCUCUUGUCCUGGCACUACAUGCUCUUGUGAAGAGUCCCCCUCCAGCUCUCCUGUAGGUUAUAGAAGGCAGUUUUGCCUAAUUGGAUGGUGAACAUGAAUAAAAUCCAUUUCUCAAAGUUGA